rnacentral:tRNA from 1 species
UCCUCGUUAGUAUAGUGGACAGUAUCUCUGCUUGUCACGCAGAAGACCAGGGUUCGAUUUCUGACGGGGAG